GAUGAACGCUGGCGGCGUGCCUAAUACAUGCAAGUCGAGCGAACGGACGAGUAUCUUGCUUCUCUGAUGUUAACGGCGUACGUGUGAGUAACACAUCGUUACCUUACCUUUAAGACUGGUUUAACUUCGUGAAACCGGUGCUAAUACCGGAUACUAUUUUGAACCUCAUGGUUCAAAAGUAUAAGACGGUCUUGCUGUCACUUCUAGAUGUAUCCGGGCUGCAUUAGCUGUUUGUUACGGUAACGGCUUACCAAGGCCACGAUGCAUAGCCGACCUGUGAGGGGGAAGCGCGACUGUGGGAGUGAGAGGCGAUACAGACUCCUACGGGAGGCAGAAGUAGGGAAUGGUCCGCAAUGGGCGAAAGACUGACGGAGGAGCGGAGGGUGAGUGAUGAAGGGCUGCGGAUCGUAAAACGCUGUUAGGAGGGAAGAACAUAUGUGUAAGGAACGGUGCACAUCGUGACGGUACCUAAACAGAAAGCCACGGCUAACUACGUG
rnacentral:rRNA from 1 species